AUUUUUUGAACAGUAAGGGAAUUAAGGGAUAUGGUGAGAAGGUGGGUAAGUGGAACUGAGGCCAUGAUUAUCUUGAAAUGUGGAAUGGGCUGGAAGGGCCAGUGGCCAACUCCUGCUCCUGGUUCUUAUGUUCUGUGAAUUAAUAAUGAGAAAAGAUGCCUAUGAGAUGUAUUCAUGGAAAUCCCAAACCCUUCAGAGAGUAACCUUACCAUGUGACUUGGGAUUGGAGUUCUGCUUAGGUUGACAUUGGGGAAAGAAUAUAGACAACUUUUUGAUUACUUUGUAUUGUGCAGAGACUCUCAAAAUAUAUGAGAACUCAGUGAGGAAACAGUGUACAAACUAAAGGAUUUUCCUUUUACCAAAGUAAAGGAGAGCCAAUAGAUCCUCAAAUUUAACAAAGCACACCAGGAUAAUGCAUUUCUCAAUGAUUCGGCCAUUUUCUUUUUCAGGGUGUCAUGAAUUAGCAUGGAUUUCACUGCUUUGGGCUGUAAAUAUUAUUUUGUAAUUAUUUCAUUUCUGUACUGCCUUUCACAUACCCAUGGUCUGGACUCAAGAUCCUGAUGAUGAGACAAAUUCCAGGUCCCAAACCCCUGUAAUGACUGCAUUGGUUGUCAUGUACAAUGUUGGAAUGACUGGCCAUUCAGUGACUGAGGUUUGCUUUUGCUGAUGUCUUGAAGUUGGCAGAUAUGGUCCUGAAGCUGGAGGACCUUUGACCCCGAACAAUUGGGAACUGCGCCAUUGGAGCUUAUAUAACUGGGAGAGAAGUAAUGACGUUUCGCAAUCGAAAUGCUCUCUGAAGACUUCUUCAUGAAGCUGGUUACAGCUGCCAGGCUGCUGCUGUGAGGGAGUUUUGAUAUACAGGGGUGCCUCAGCAGUGACCAGCUCAUAAUGUCAGCUAGACAUAAUGUCUAGCUUCAACAAAACUGGAACAUAAUGUUCAAGACUCGAGUUUUGCCAAAAUGCAGCCUCUACCCUGCCUGUUCUUCUGCAUCUGGGAGGUUUGUUUCUGUACAUUAACUGAAUUUCAGCUUCGAGAGGCUUCUGCCACACAGGUUCAAAUAUUGACCCUGAGUGAUCCUUCAGUUGCCUCAAUGAUCUAUGCCUGCUUUUAGGCAGGUAGCUUAUAAAAUGGGGGAGAUACCAGGCUGUAGAGGGGGUCGCCUCCAUUCUCCCUCUCCAAAGCUUCAAUGCCAACUGCCUGCCCCUCUUCUGCAGUUAUAAUGUGUCCAUCAAUGCUCUUAAUGCCUUUCAAGAGAGGUGGCACAGUGGGGGGGAUAAAGUGCUUUAUUUCCCCCUCUAAUACUAUGUUGAUUUAGUCCACUCCCUCUCUCUCUCUAUCCCCCACCCUCACAUUUUGAUAUAAGCAUUGCCCUUAAUAGGCUUUGCUUGUAAAUAUUCAGUUGGCCACAUGGGUAUUUUCCUGAUGGUGGAGAGAGAAAAAAAUAUAGACAGUUAGCUGUCACCCAGCCCUGAAGCAGCAUGUUUCGAAAUAGUCCAGAAGUGAGAAAAUGCCAGCAAACUGGCACGCCAGCUGUUUACAGAAAUUCAUGAUCUCUACCAUUACAACCCUCCCAAGACUGAAAAUAUUACCCAGGUUGUCCCAAAGUGUUUUACAGCUAAUUGACUAUGUUUGACAUCGUCAAUCUGGUAAGAAACGUAGCAGCCAAUUUUCAUGCAAAGAUCUCCCCACCAACAGUGUGAUACUAACUAUAUUUUUCUUGUAUUUUUUUCAAGAGAUGUGGGCUUUGCUGGCUGGGUGGCUCUAUUGCCAACCACUAACUGUCCUUGAGAAGCUGAUGAUGAGCUUCCUUCUUGAACCACCACUGUCUGUUUGGCGAUAUUAAUCGAGCAAUGAAUGCUAGGGAGAACUUCCCUGAUCUCAGAUGGGAUUUUCAAUGGUCCCCCAAGAGUCUAGUUGGAAACAGCUUAAUAUCUCAUCUAAGUCAAGUCCAUGGCAUGUGAAUUAAACAAAUUACUUUGUAACAAAGCUGAGGGUGUUGUCCACUGCACUACAACUGCUACCUGUGGCUAACACUCUCUAGUGGCUGUAGUCCUGCAUGAAGCAACAUUGAUAUAUUAAUAGGGUUAGUAAAUGAUAAGAAAGUUGAAUGUUAUUCAUCCACUUCCCAUUAGCCUAAUGAGGCCAAUUUACAAUUCUGUGAAUUUAUGGACAAAAUAACUAAGCUAAUGUCAAAUGGAAUUUUACAAAACUGGGCCUUAAAACUGCUUUCAAAACAAAAAAAAAUUGCCUGUUUCCUGUUUUAGGGAUGCUACAAAGAAAUUUACAACCAAUUAAUUACUUUUGAAGUGUAGCCAGUUUUAUGUAGGCAAAAGUGACAUUCAGUGUUGCCCAGAAAACCUCCAAAAAUAUCAAAUAAGAUAAAUGGUCAAACAAUAAUCUUGUUUUAGUGACAUUAUUUAAGGGAGAAAUGUUAGCCAGUUAACCUACCUAAAUUCCUAUGUCCUUCAAAUUGAUAUUUUAUGUCAAACCAGUUGGGUAGAGGCUUUGGUCUAAUGUCUUACUCAGAAAAUACUAUCACCAAAAAUGUUGUAAUUCCCCAGUAGGAUAUGGAGGUUUCAAUCUCUAUUGUGUGUUCGAUCCAAGUGUGGUUGAACCCAGAACCUUCUGAUCAAUGAGAUGUGAAUCAAAUUUUCAUGGUCUAGUGAGUACAGCAUGGCACUGGAGUUUUAGCUUCCAAUGUCUUUUAAGGUAAUUGUAAACCAAUAAGUUGGAAUCAAGAGAGGAUCAUUGCACUACUGUGUGUGCGUGUGUGUGUUGAAUGUUGAAAUCAUUGGGAUGGUGUUGAUGGAGAGAGGAACAAACACUGUCUGCCUGUUUUAAACUGCCUCUUCUGACUCUCUUGGACAUAAGGGACCUAUCUGAAGAUAUGACCAAAGCUUAUAGUACUGUAUUAUAAAAAAAAAGUGUAAUUUUGGUUACACUCUAGAUACUGCUAGAUCUGUUGAGUUUUUCCUGCAGCUUCUGUUUUUUCUUGUUGACACUUAUGGCAUUGUGAUUGGAAAUGUACAUUAUAUUGGAGUGGUGUAUUGAUACUCUGAUAGAUCUUAAUAUUGUCACAAUUAUUCAAAUUGUCUUUGUAAUAUUAUUAAAUAAUUCCUUAUCACAAAACCAAUCAAUUCCUGUUUACCACUUUAGCUUGUUUGACAGUGUUAUUUACAAAUUACUUGGCCAUGAAUUGGGGUGGAAAUUAUUCAUCCCUUUCUCUUUGUUGACAAAAGUAAAAUUAUAUUGGUUCCAAGUGUCUGUAAUAUUUGCCUCUCUCAAGAGAAUGAUUCUACAUAUCAGAAUAUAGUGUUAAUAAUAAAAUGUUAUGGUCUCUGUUGGAUGUGUUCAGAAUUGUGGAGAAAGACUUUGAACUUAAUAUGAUUGUGUGUGUUUAAGAUUGAGAUUUCUGAACUUUAAGAAGCCAACACCAAAAAUGCAGACUAUUUUUGUUAGUAAAAGACAACUGCGAUCUGUAGCUGUUGAUUUGUCUAUUUUUAACGUGAGAAAGGUGCUGCUUCUAAUUGUGUUUUCUCUUCCAGCGUAUCCAUCAGGAUUAUCAGAACAUCCUUGUCUUUGGAUUUGGAGAGUUAUUCUGGAAAAUAAGAAUCAUGGUGUGGAACACAGUGAAAGACACAAGGUGCACAAAUCUUUAUUCGGUUUAUGAUGCAGCGUGCAAUCUAAUGAUUGGUCACUCACCUCUAUCCUCAAACACCCACUUGAAUCCUGGCCGUCACAUGGGGCAGCUGCCUUCUUAACCAGGCUCAGCCUGGAGACUGGCAGCUGAGGGAGAAGGCCUCUGCCACUAAUCGUUGAAUGAGCCAGACAUGCCUCCACACCAGCCUGGGGUCUCCUGGCAAGCAAGGAACAGGUUCCAGGCUGACUCCCCUGCCCUAGACUCGCAGGCCGGGCUGAGGCUGCAGGUCUGCAGCUAGGCCUGGGUGCCUGAAGAAGUAGGAGUGUUGGUGAAAGGGAUGGACAAUGGAUUGGCGGCAGCUUCUGGAGGAUUGGAAACAGGAGACUAUGUUCACCGAUGAGGCAGCUUCCAGUGGAGGGAAGUCUCGGCUUGGUACGUUGGUUUCCUGGUGUGGUGGUUUCGUCUCUGUGUGGAGGUCUUUAGAUAUUCCUGCAGCCCAGCAGACAGUCUCAGCCAGGAGUGGCGGUCUCUGCCUGCCAUGGUGGUCUUCAUCGGUGAGGGCUAAUCGCCCAGUUUUCCAAUGGGCCUGACUUGGUAAUCUUGUCCCAGCAUGGAGUCAGGGUUUUUCAUCGUUUCCUAAUUGGUUUUACCCGAGCCCAGGAGCUGUUAACUGAUCUGUGAUGAAUUUAUCUUAAUUUUACUUUUUGAAAAAUUCUGUCUGACUCCUGUCAGUAAUAGAGGUACUGUGGUAGGGUGACUUUUAAAACUUUUCACUCUAUUUUCAUGUAAAAGUACAUGGGACAAUAAAUUUCUAUUCUAUUUUCCAUACCUCCUCUUGUUGACAGGCAUUCUCAAAGAAUUGUGUCCCUUCAUGCAGGAGUUUCCUUCAAGGUAGUUUCUUCUGAAGCAAGGUCUCCUAUGCAUUGCCACCUAUGUUGCAUUUCAUCGACGUGAAGGGAGUCUUUGAAAUGCUUCUUUUGUCCUCUUAUCCAAGUAUGGCAGGACUACCUUACGCUGAAAGACUGGAGCGACUGGGCUUGUAUACCCUUGA